rnacentral:snRNA from 1 species
GGAUGUGAGGGNGAUCUGGCUGCGACAUUUGUCACCCCAUUGACCACCAGGAUUGAUUUGGCUGAUCUGGCUGGCUAGGUGGGUGUCUCCUUUAUCCCUCACCGCUCUNUGUGUGUCCUCCUGGAAACUGUGUUCUCAGUUGAAGAGAAUGACCUUCCCCNAAUAGAGGAGGACUGGUCAAGGACAUAGGAGUAGCUGUGCUCUCCUGCUAGAAUGAACCAAACUCUCAAGGUCCAAACACAUGUUUGNAAGGUCACACCNUGCUGAUGCGUGCCAUCUCAAA